UUUCUUCAAAUUAUCACUGUCAUGUGGUAAAAAGAAAUCGAAAAUUCAUGCUCCGUGACUUGUUCAUUGAUUUGAACGUGGCACGGAGUCCCCUUUCUUCUGUCAAACUCUAUGGUCGAAGUAUGUUGUGCUCGAGCGAUCGAUCACGUUGUAGUUCGUGCCCUUACCUCUCAUUGGUCAGUGUUUUUCGUUGAUAAUUCGUAAACAGAGCCGCAGAUUGAAUUUUUUGCUAAGCAUAAUGUUACUUAGAAUGACCUCAGCUAUCCUCCAUUUCCGUUUUACGAGACAUGUUUGGGACACCCUGCAUAUGCCAAAUGUCGAAUUUGUCCCAGUGACGAUUGGUCCAACUUCUUGUUGAAAGUGAAUAUCAGCAGUUUGUGGUCCGUGAGGAUAUAAAAUUCUUGUCCUUCCGAGGAGUGGCGAAAUUGCUUGAUAGCCUCAUAAGCAGCCAAUAGCUCUUGGUCGUACGUGCAAUACCUCUGCUGCGUGGGGGUUAGUUUCCUAGAAAAAAAGCUCAAUGGUUGAUGUUGACCUUUAAUAUUUUGUUGGAGAACUGCUCCAAUAGUGGUGUCAGAGGCAUCAGUCUGCAACGACAGUUUGGCAGCAGAUUCUGGAAAGGACAGGAUGACAGUAUCUGACAAUUCCUGUUUUGGUCUCGAAAAGGUGGCUCUCCUCAGUCCACAACAAGGCAGGUGAACUUCUUCUCUUGAGGAAACGAUUAUAAAAAUUUACCAUUCACUGUGGUUGACUCGGUGUAGUCACAAACAGCAUCGACUUUGGCUGGAUGCGGAGUCAGUCCUGAGGCUUUGAUACGAUGGCCAAGAAAACCUGUCAAAAAUGCACUUGCCAGGGUCGAUGACAAAGCCUUACAGAUCCAACCUCUUGAGAACGAUCUCCAGAUGGCUACGAUGCUCCACCUCCGACGGCAAGGCGAUGAUGAGGUCAUCCAAGUAGACGUAGCAAAAGUCAAGUCCGGCGAUAACCAAGUGCAUGAACCUUUGGAAGGUCUGUGCAGCAUUUUGUAAUCCGAAGGUCAUGGAUGGAAACUCAAAUAACCUGAAGGAUGUAAUGAUUGCCGUCUUUGGAAUGUCCUGCUCUGAAACAAGAAUCUGCUGCCUUGAAUUUGUCAGGCAUGAGUCAUCGUGCCUUGGCAGUGAUAGGCAGUCCUAUGGUCUCAACGAAGUGUUGGAUUUCAUGAGUGAUCUUCCGAGGCAGGAUUGACGUACGCGUCAAUUUUGCAGCAGAUCACUGAAUGGAAUAUCUUGAGUCAGACAUUGGAAGCGAGGAACGUUCUCGCUGCUCGGCCGACAAGAAUAUUGCUAUCAAUCAGCCUUCGGUUCCCAGUGUCCACUAGCAGGCUGAAAUUAAAUAAAAGGUCUGUGUCAAUAAUUGGUUGCUCUGGCCACGUCACAAAUGAUUAACUAUCACAUGAACGGCCUUCGGAAGUCCAAAUUCAGUUUGAUCAGCCGACUGUCAUGUCCUGAUCCUGAAUCCGUUGACGGCGUACAGCUUCAGAUCUCCAAGGUGACGACGAUUACGUGCAGUAGCUGGAAGUACAAACACAUCAGCUUCAGUGUCGAUCAGGUUUUGCUGACGAUCGUUUUCCGCAGAAUUCUUUACCGCCCAGUUACAAGGCUAGAAACAUCUGCAAGCCAGCGCCAUAUUUGGCUGUCUGCCUCGCACGCGGCUGCAGGGUUGCCGCAGAACCCUGUUCGUUGGGCAGAGUACUCGUGGGAUCGCGCUCGAGGAGACCAUUUUGUCCAAAAAGUUGCACGUGGUUACCUUAACCCAAACGGGAAGUUCGCGAGAUCAUUCGUAAUUCGGUAAUAGUCACCGGUAAUAUACCAUGUCGUGGUCACCAGUUUUAGCGGCUGCGUGUUCUAUUUGUGAAUCUCUCUAUCGCGAUUUCCCUAGCGUCUGUAUGCGGACGAAGACGUGGAGACAGUUACUAGGCUUCGAGAUUAGAUACACACGUCAGCCAUAAUUGUCGCCGCUGUCUGGAUCUACGGAAUUUUACUGUCUUUGCCUCCAAUGUUUGGUUGGGGCCAAUAUGGAAAUGAUAUUUUAAAUAUAACAUGUAUUCUACUAUGGGAUGACCACGACUCAGAACGAAGCAAUAUAUAUAUUGCUUUUAUUUUACUUGUUGGCCAUGGAUUACCAACAGUAAUCAUAAUUUCGAUUUCCGUACACAUCAUUUUGACAGAUUCACGCAGAAGACAAAAUUUGAGGAUUACGAAAAUGGUCAAAUUGACGGUAAUGAUCUAUCUAGUUGCUUGGAUACCCCGUGUGACUUUGGGUAUCGCUAUUCAUUAUUUCGACGUCGAGCCGUCACCAAUAAUAGUCAUAUUAACAUAUACAUUGUCGACACUUACUAUAUGUAAUAAACCAAUUAUCGCCAUAUACCUGAACAAUCAGCUAAAAAACUGUGUGAGGAAAAUGUUUGGGAGAGAGGUAUCGGAUGAGGCAGGCAUCGGAAAUGAAAUAGGCAUGGUCAGCGAACGUAAUAACUAAUAGCAAGGAUAGGGAUUAGAACUAUUUAAAACCAUAAAUAAAUAUAUAAACGCUCGUUAAAUAUUUAAUUGUUACAUAUACGAAAAACUCAUAAACAAAGCCGCAGAUUGCAUUUUCGUUAAUAUACAUAUAUAUGUAAGGAAAGUACACAGCACUUCCCCAAUGCUAUUUGAAUUGUCCCGCCUAAUUGCGACGGUCGCUAAGCGAGAUAUCUGUAUGUGCAGUGAACAUAGCAGGGAAAAAGGAAUGGAAAAACACGUGGUAGAAAUGAGUGCGAAAUUGUAAUUGUAAACCGAAACCAAAGAAAUUGUAAUUGUGAAAAAAAAACGAAACAAGUGAAAAAUAAACAUUGAAUGUUCUUUCUUUGACUAACAGAGAAA